rnacentral:rRNA from 1 species
GUAGGUGGCAAGCGUUGUCCGGAAUUAUCGGGCGUAAAGCGCGCGCAGGCGGUUCUUUAAGUCUGAUGUGAAAGCCCACGGCUCAACCGUGGAGGGUCAUUGGAAACUGGAGAGCUUGAGUACAGAAGAGGAAAGCGGAAUUCCACGUGUAGCGGUGAAAUGCGUAGAGAUGUGGAGGAACACCAGUGGCGAAGGCGGCUUUCUGGUCUGUAACUGACGCUGAGGCGCGAAAGCGUGGGGGAGCAAACAGGAUUAGAUACCCUGGUAGUCCACGCCGUAAACGAUGAGUGCUAAGUGUUAGGGGGUUUCCGCCCUUAGUGCUGCAGCUAACGCAUUAAGCACUCCGCCUGGGAGUACGGCCGCAAGGCUG